GUGCUCCCUUUGGCAGCACAUACACUAACGUUGGAACCUUCCAGAGAGGGUUAACAUGCCCCCUGAGCAAGGGUGACAUGUGGAUUAAAGGAUCUUUCCAACUUUAG
ensembl:snRNA U6 U6 spliceosomal RNA